GGUUAGGUUUGGGUUAGGUGUGGGUUAGGUUUGGGUUAGGUUUGGGUUAGGUUUGGGUUAGGUUUGGGUUAGGUUUGGGUUAGGUUUGGGUUAGGUUUGGGUUAGGUUUGGGUUAGGUUUGGGUUAGGUUUGGGUUAGGUUUGGGUUAGGUUUGGGUUAGGUUUGGGUUAGGUUUGGGUUAGGUUUGGGUUAGGUUUGGGUUAGGUUUGGGUUAGGUUUGGGUUAGGUUUGGGUUAGGUUUGGGUUAGGUUUGGGUUAGGUUUGGGUUAGGUUUGGGUUAGGUUUGGGUUAGGUUUGGGUUAGGUUUGGAUUAGGUUUGGGUUAGGUUUGGGUUAGGUUUGGGUUAGGUUUGGGUUAGGUUUGGGUUAGGUUUGGGUUAGGUUUGGGUUAGGUUUGGGUUAGGUUUGGGUUAGGUUUGGGUUAGGUUUGGGUUAGGUUUGGGUUAGGUUUGGGUUAGGUUUGGGUUAGGUUUGGGUUAGGUUUGGGUUAGGUUUGGGUUAGGUUUGGGUUAGGUUAGG